UACAGAGGGUGCGAGCGUUAAUCGGAUUUACUGGGCGUAAAGCGUGCGUAGGUGGUUAUUCAAGUCGGUUGUGAAAUCCUCGGGCUCAACCUGGGAACUGCUUCCGAGACUGAAAGACUAGAGUACGGUAGAGGGUGGUGGAAUUUCCGGUGUAGCGGUGAAAUGCGUAGAUAUCGGAAGGAACAUCAAUGGCGAAGGCAGCCCCCUGGGCCUGUACUGACACUGAGGCACGAAAGCGUGGGGAGCAAACAGG
rnacentral:rRNA from 1 species